rnacentral:rRNA from 1 species
GGGUGCGAUUAUACCAGCCCUAGUGCACUGAAUCCCAUCAGCACUCCGCAGCUAAGCGUGCUUGGGCGAGAGUAGUACUAGGAUGGGUGACCUCCCGGGAAGUCCUCGUGUUGCACCCU